ACAAGGUCUUCUGUGCCAUGCUCGCCUAGACUGGGUGGGCAGAGUGGGGCACAGUGAAGCAGGGUGGACAGAGCUGAACUGGACACUGGGCUUGGGGGGCCUAGAGCUGGCUUUCAUACCAAACCUAGCUGGGUGGGAGAGCCAGGGAGUGGUACAGAAUGUGUCCUACCUGGAGUACCAUGGGUAGGACUAUGGUGGCCUCUGAUGUGGCUUCUGUCCUCCACCCUGUGGUGUCAAGCCUCUGUGCAGAAGCCAUCUCUCUUCCCCUUGCACUCCUGCUGCAAAAGCACCACCUCUGUGACCCUGGGCUGCCUGGUCAUGGGCUACUUCCCAGAGCCGGUGACUGUGACCUGGGACACAGGCUCCUUGAACGCGAGCACCCUGAACUUCCCCACCACCCAACUCAGCUCUGGGCUCCUGGCCAGAACCAGCCAGGUGACUGUCUCCGGCACCGGCGAGUGGGCCACGAGGAGCUUCACCUGCAGCGUGGGCCACGCCCCAUCCACGCACCAGGCUAACAGGACCUUCCGAGCUUGCUUGUCCUCCAACUUCACUGGCCCCGAUGUGACGCUCUUCCAAUCAUCCUGUGACCCCACUGGGUCCCGCUCCUUCAUCCAGCUCUAUUGCCUCAUUUCUGGCUACACCCCAGGUGACCUCGUGGUCACUUGGCUGAAGGAUGGGAAGCCACUCUCCGAAGUAGCCUCAUCCACCGCCCCACCCAAGCAGGAAGGCAAGCUGGCCUCCACCCACAGCAAGAUCAACAUCACCCAGGAAGACUGGAUGUCCGAGAGCACCUUCUCCUGCCAGGUCUCCUCCCACGGCCUCACCUCCCGGGCCGACACCCAGAAGUGCCCAGAUCAGGAGCCACGAGGGAUAAGCACCUACCUGAUCCCACCCAGCCCGCUUGACCUGUAUGUCCGCAUGGCACCCAAGCUCACCUGUCUGGUGGUGGACCUGGAAAGCAAAGAGGGCGUGGAAGUGGUCUGGACCCGGGACAGCCGGAAGCCAGUGAGCCCAGACCCCUGGAAGGCCACCAAGCAGCCCAACGCCACCUUCAGCAUCACCUCCACCCUGCCAGUGGACGCCAAGGACUGGAUCGAUGGCGAGAGCUACCGCUGCAUGGUGAAGCACCCUGAGCUGCCCAAGCCCAUCAUUCGGACCCUCGCCAAGGCCCCCGGCAAGCGCAUGGUCCCCAAGGUCCACGUGUUCCUGCCGCCCGAGGAGCCGGGGAGCCAGGACAAGCUCACCCUCACCUGCCUGGUCCAGAACUUCUUCCCCAUGGACAUCUCGGUGCAGUGGCUUCGCAAUGGGCAGGUCCACAGGGACCAGCAGAGCACCACAGCGCCCCUGCGGACCCACGCCGCCCACCCCGCCUUCUUCCUCUUCAGCCGCCUGGAGGUGGCCAGGGCAGACUGGGUGCCAAGCAACACGUUCACCUGCCGCGUGGUCCACGAGGCACUGCCCGGACGCAGGACCCUGGAGGAAACCGUGUCCAGGAGCCCUGGUAAAUGAUGCCUCCCUGCCUGCCUCUCCUCCCGGGCCUCGUCCAGCAGGGGG